CACACUCCACUCACAGGCUUUGACUGUACAGCUCUGUCAUGACAGAGAUGGAGCUUUCUCUAAAGAAGCUGAGGAAAAAUGGAUGUAUCCACUGCACAAGGAGUUCUGCUGAGCAAGGAACCCCUGAGCAUUGAACUUGGAUUCAGGUUUCCUUUAGUCACAAAGUAAGCAGGCAGUUGGUUACCCAGCCUCUUUCACCUUCAUCCAGCCAUUUCAUGGAGUUAUUCAACUUACGAG